rnacentral:rRNA from 1 species
UCAGGACGAACGCUGGCGGCGUGCCUAAUACAUGCAAGUCGAACGAACUCUGGUAUUGAUUGGUGCUUGCAUCAUGAUUUACAUUUGAGUGAGUGGCGAACUGGUGAGUAACACGUGGGAAACCUGCCCAGAAGCGGGGGAUAACACCUGGAAACAGAUGCUAAUACCGCAUAACAACUUGGACCGCAUGGUCCGAGCUUGAAAGAUGGCUUCGGCUAUCACUUUUGGAUGGUCCCGCGGCGUAUUAGCUAGAUGGUGGGGUAACGGCUCACCAUGGCAAUGAUACGUAGCCGACCUGAGAGGGUAAUCGGCCACAUUGGGACUGAGACACGGCCCAAACUCCUACGGGAGGCAGCAGUAGGGAAUCUUCCACAAUGGACGAAAGUCUGAUGGAGCAACGCCGCGUGAGUGAAGAAGGGUUUCGGCUCGUAAAACUCUGUUGUUAAAGAAGAACAUAUCUGAGAGUAACUGUUCAGGUAUUGACGGUAUUUAACCAGAAAGCCACGGCUAACUACGUGCCAGCAGCCGCGGUAAUACGUAGGUGGCAAGCGUUGUCCGGAUUUAUUGGGCGUAAAGCGAGCGCAGGCGGUUUUUUAAGUCUGAUGUGAAAGCCUUCGGCUCAACCGAAGAAGUGCAUCGGAAACUGGGAAACUUGAGUGCAGAAGAGGACAGUGGAACUCCAUGUGUAGCGGUAAAAUGCGUAGAUAUAUGGAAGAACACCAGUGGCGAAGGCGGCUGUCUGGUCUGUAACUGACGCUGAGGCUCGAAAGUAUGGGUAGCAAACAGGAUUAGAUACCCUGGUAGUCCAUACCGUAAACGAUGAAUGCUAAGUGUUGGAGGGUUUCCGCCCUUCAGUGCUGCAGCUAACGCAUUAAGCAUUCCGCCUGGGGAGUACGGCCGCAAGGCUGAAACUCAAAGGAAUUGACGGGGGCCCGCACAAGCGGUGGAGCAUGUGGUUUAAUUCGAAGCUACGCGAAGAACCUUACCAGGUCUUGACAUACUAUGCAAAUCUAAGAGAUUAGACGUUCCCUUCGGGGACAUGGAUACAGGUGGUGCAUGGUUGUCGUCAGCUCGUGUCGUGAGAUGUUGGGUUAAGUCCCGCAACGAGCGCAACCCUUAUUAUCAGUUGCCAGCAUUAAGUUGGGCACUCUGGUGAGACUGCCGGUGACAAACCGGAGGAAGGUGGGGAUGACGUCAAAUCAUCAUGCCCCUUAUGACCUGGGCUACACACGUGCUACAAUGGAUGGUACAACGAGUUGCGAACUCGCGAGAGUAAGCUAAUCUCUUAAAGCCAUUCUCAGUUCGGAUUGUAGGCUGCAACUCGCCUACAUGAAGUCGGAAUCGCUAGUAAUCGCGGAUCAGCAUGCCGCGGUGAAUACGUUCCCGGGCCUUGUACACCCCACCCACACACCAUGAGAGUU